rnacentral:rRNA from 1 species
AUUGAACGCUGGCGGAAUGCUUUACACAUGCAAGUCGAACGGCAGCACGGACUUCGGUCUGGUGGCGAGUGGCGAACGGGUGAGUAAUGUAUCGGAACGUGCCCAGUCGUGGGGGAUAACGUAGUGAAAAUUACGCUAAUCCCGCAUACGAUCUAUGGAUGAAAGCGGGGGAUCGCAAGACCUCGCGCGAUUGGAGCGGCCGAUAUCAGAUUAGGUAGUUGGUGGGGUAAAGGCCCACCAAGCCAACGAUCCGUAGCUGGUCUGAGAGGACGACCAGCCACAAUGGAACGGAGACACGGUCCAGACUCCUACGGGAGGCAGCAGUGGGGAAUUUUGGACAAUGGGCGAAAGCCUGAUCCAGCCAUUCCGCGUGCAGGAUGAAGGCCCUCGGGUUGUAAACUGCUUUUGUACAGAACGAAAAGGUUUCUACUAAUACUAGGAGCUCAUGACGGUACUGUAAGAAUAAGCACCGGCUAACUACGUGCCAGCAGCCGCUGUAA